rnacentral:rRNA from 1 species
AUCGAACGCUGGCGGCAGGCCUAACACAUGCGAGUCGAGCGGAUGAAGGGAGCUUGCUCCUGGAUUCAGCGGCGGACGGGUGAGUAAUGCCUAGGAAUCUGCCUGGUAGUGGGGGAUAACGUCCGGAAACGGGCGCUAAUACCGCAUACGUCCUGAGGGAGAAAGUGGGGGAUCUUCGGACCUCACGCUAUCAGAUGAGCCUAGGUCGGAUUAGCUAGUUGGUGGGGUAAAGGCCUACCAAGGCGACGAUCCGUAACUGGUCUGAGAGGAUGAUCAGUCACACUGGAACUGAGACACGGUCCAGACUCCUACGGGAGGCAGCAGUGGGGAAUAUUGGACAAUGGGCGAAAGCCUGAUCCAGCCAUGCCGCGUGUGUGAAGAAGGUCUUCGGAUUGUAAAGCACUUUAAGUUGGGAGGAAGGGCAGUAAGUUAAUACCUUGCUGUUUUGACGUUACCAACAGAAUAAGCACCGGCUAACUUCGUG